CAAGAGUACGUGAAACCGUUCAGGGGUAAACCUGAGAAACCCAAAAGAUCGAAUGGGGAGAUUCAUCGUCAGCUCAUUUUGUAUAUAUAUGAGUUAUGAUAUGGGUUACUACUUGUAGUAUUGCCUGUACAUUCUUGUAUAUUUCAUUGCAAGAUGUUGUCGGCGUGCACUUCUCCCCUAGUAGGACGUCGCGACCCGUUGAGUGUCGGUCUACGGCCCGAGUGGUAGCCUUUAAUUCUUGUAAUUAAAGACCCUUGGUGUUUCCUGACUGACUGCUCGGCGGUAUUCGUACGGUAUUAAGCCGCAUUUAUGCGUUCAUAUCCGUCGCAAGCGCGGUCAAUUUUUAGUAGUACGGACCUAGUGCCGUCGCUAUAAUUGAUCAGCUGUUGGUUGUACGGUAUUCUAGAACUGGCUUAAUAUAUACCGGUCUGCGAUGCUACUGCUUUGGGUACUUUCAGGACCCGUCUUGAAACACGGACCAAGUUG
rnacentral:rRNA from 1 species